UCUUGGUCAUUUAGAGGAAGUAAAAGUCGUAACAAGGUUUCCGUAGGUGAACCUGCGGAAGGAUCAUUAGUGAUUGUGAAUCGUUGCCUUCGGUGCUGGCUCCUGAGCAAGUGCACGUUGGUGACUUUCAUCCAUUACCCUGUGCACCUUUGGCCUCUUGUUGGCUUCGGCUGAUAGAGGAUUUUACACAUAAACUCGAAUGUAAUGAAAACUACUGUCGUGCGCAAGCACUAAUGUACAACUUUCAACAACGGAUCUCUUGGCUCUCGCAUCGAUGAAGAACGCAGCGAAAUGCGAUAAGUAAUGUGAAUUGCAGAAUUCAGUGAAUCAUCGAAUCUUUGAACGCACCUUGCACCCUUUGGUAUUCCGAAGGGUAUGCUCGUUUGAGUGUCAUUGUACUCUCACACUCUCUAAUGCUUGCAUUAGGAGCGGUGGACUUGGGUGUUGCUGCUUCACGGUGGCUCACCUGAAAUGCAGUAGUGCACCUCCUGGUUGGACAUAGUACGGCGUGAUAAGUGUCUUCGCCGGCGCCUCGAAAGAGGGUGGCCGAUUGGGAGCUCUGGGCUUCUAACUGUCUUAGGACACUCUCUGACAACUUGACCUCAAAUCGAGUAAGACUACCCGCUGAACUUAAGCAUAUCAAUAACCGGAGGA
rnacentral:rRNA from 1 species